rnacentral:pre_miRNA from 15 species
CAGGGCCCUGGCUGGGAUAUCAUCAUAUACUGUAAGUUUGUGAUGAGACACUACAGUAUAGAUGAUGUACUAGUCUGGGCACCCC